rnacentral:tRNA from 1 species
GCGUGGCCCAGUGGUUAAGACGCUGGGCUAAUAACCCAGUGGUUGCAGG